rnacentral:rRNA from 1 species
AUUGAACGCUGGCGGCAUGCCUUACACAUGCAAGUCGAACGGUAACAGGUCUUCGGAUGCUGACGAGUGGCGAACGGGUGAGUAAUACAUCGGAACGUGCCCGAUCGUGGGGGAUAACGAAGCGAAAGCUUUGCUAAUACCGCAUACAAUCUACGGAUGAAAGCAGGGGACCGCAAGGCCUUGCGCGAACGGAGCGGCCGAUGGCAGAUUAGGUAGUUGGUGGGAUAAAAGCUUACCAAGCCGACGAUCUGUAGCUGGUCUGAGAGGACGACCAGCCACACUGGGAAUGAGACACGGCCCAGACUCCUACGGGAGGCAGCAGUGGGGGAUUGUGGACAAUGGGCGAAAGCCUGAUCCAGCCAUGCCGCGUGCAGGAUGAAGGCCUUCGGGUUGUAAACUGCUUUUGUACGGAACGAAAAGACUCUGGUUAAUACCUGGGGUCCAUGACGGUACCGUAAGAAUAAGCACCGGCUAACUACGUGCCAGCCGCCGCAGUAAAAC